ensembl:lncRNA
CUACUGCUCAUUUUUCUUACAUAUCAGGAAGAUAAUCUUUAGAACUCCAAAAAUAAACACUGACUUAAAAAUGCAAAAGAAAUAAAGACAUAGAUCCUGUAAGAACCAAUUGUGUGCAACUUCUGUUUUAAUUCAGCUAGGUUUUAUUGAGCACUUACUAUGUGCCUGGCAUGCAGAGAGGGGAGCUUCUGCAGCUGAAGGGAAGUCUCUGUAUUCCCAGGUACACUGUGGUCCUUGUCUGCAUGGCAGUUACAAUUUAACAGGGAAGCCACUAGUUUGGCACACACUUUGCAUCAGGCACCUACUAUGCGUCAGGCACUGUUAUAGGGGCUGGGGUUAGAAUGGAGAAAAAAACAGACAAGAUCCUGGCCAAUGGAACUCAUGUUCUAAUGGGCGGCAUGGACAUAUUCAAGAUAAGUAGGAGGUCAUUUAGACAUGAGUAAGUGCUAAGAAAAAAACCAAGGAAGGGUAUUAGCUUCCUAUUAUUAGGAAAAUUAGCAUGGAUUUAAGUGGCUUAAGCAACAUGAGUUUAUUAUGUUGUUCCAAAGGUCAGAAGUCCAGCAUAGGUCAAUACAGCUGGGUUUUUUUCUGGGGUUUCUGGGAAAGAGUCUAAGUUCUUGCCUUUUCUGGCUUCCAGAGACGUCUACACUCCUUGGCUCGUGGCCCCUUCCUCUGCCUUUCAAGCUGCCACAGCAGCAUCUUACCAUCAGGCCCCCACCCUGCCCCGGCAUCUGCCAUCACAUCUCUUGUCUGACUCUGACCCCUUCGAUGACGCUGGAGCCGGCCCAGGAUCACCUCUCCAUCUCGAGGCCCUUAACGCAGGCACAGCGGCAGGGUCCCUUGUGCCAUUUCAGGUAACACAUUUGUGGUUCUUCUUCAGGGACCAUCAUUCUUUCCACCACAGCAAGGAAUGGAGACACAAAGUGUCAAUGAGAAGGGAUGUGACUUUGGGUAAGGUGGCAAAGGUCUCGCUGAGCAAGUGGCUUGGGAGUAAGUACAGGAAGGAGUGGUGGAGCCAGAGAGGGUGCUGGGGAGGCGGCGUGCGUUGAAGUGCAAGAAGGCCAGGGUGACCACAAAGGUCAAGAUGGGCUGGAAGCAGAGACGUCCUUCAGGAGAGGCACUGUCGUGGGCUGAGCUGUGUCCCCGAAAACUCACAAGUUGACAGCAGAAUGUGACUGUGUUUGGAGACAGAGUCUUUGAAGGGUCUUGUGGCUGUGUCUAGAUGCCCCCGAAAGCCUCAUGAAGAACCAGAUGGGGCUUUUUCAGAGGUGGCUGAAUCCAGAGUGUGUGAAUGAUUCCUGGUGCAAUGCUAGGCUCAAGGUGCUAGGAUGAAAAAGUCUGGAAAAAGGGAUAAAAAGACGCUGGUAAGUCCCGUGUUGCUCUUGCCAUCUUCCACCGAUAUUAACCAUUGCUCUUCUGUCAUGUGCCACCCUGACUUGGAACCAACUGAUUAUGGAUGGAAACCUCUACAAACCGUGAGUUAAAUAAACCCUUUCCCCUUUAACUUCGGGUGUUAGGUGUUUUGUCUCAGCAACGAGAGAAUAGUAACUAAGACAAAGGGUAAUUAGGUUAAAACAAGGUCAUCAGGAUGGACCCUAAUCCAACAUGACUGGUGUCCUUAAAAGAAGGGGCACAGUUAAGACAGGGUCAGUUAGGACACAGACACAUACAAAGGGACAACUGUGAAGACACAGUAAGAAAACAGCCAUCUAUAUGCUGAGGAGAGAGGGCUCGGGAGAAUCCAGUCUUGCCAACCUUGGUCUGGGACUUUCAGCCUGCAGAACUUCCGGGAAAUAAGUCUCCAUUGUUUGUCACAGUCUGUGCACUUUGUUAUGGGAGUGAGAGCUGACUAAGGAAGGAGAUGUGGGUGACCAUCCUUCGUUGGUGCCUGUCACUUUGCACACCCGUGAGUGGAGCCAUGGGUGCCUUUCCUCUGGACUACCUUGCCAAGGAUGCUGUAGAGCAAAUAACUCUGGGAGACAAAUAACUCUGGGAUGGUGUCUCCUGUCCAUGGUCAUAAA